UACGUAGGCAGCGAGCGUUGUUCGGAAUUACUGGGCGUAAAGAGUGUGUAGGCGGUGCUCUAAGUUCGGUGUGAAAUCUCCCGGCUUAACUGGGAGGGUGCGCCGGAAACUGGAGUGCUCGAACGUGGGAGAGGAAAGCGGAAUUCCCGGUGUAGCGGUGAAAUGCGUAGAUAUUAGGAAGAACACCAGUGGCGAAGGCGGCUCACUGGCCCGGUACUGACGCUGAGGUACGAAAGCGUGGGGAGCAAACAGG
rnacentral:rRNA from 1 species